rnacentral:misc_RNA from 1 species
UUCAGCUGGGCGGUUUUGAGUCCCUUGUCGUAACGGUGCGUGAGUGGUGUUUGGCAUGUUUCGGGCGAUUGGAUGCCUGCUUGUGCAGCAACUUUCGUCGGUACAUGCCUUUUCAUUUGUGCAUCAAGGUUUAUUGUACCUUGGGCUUACUUUUGGGUUUCCUGUAUUGCCUACCUAUGCGACGGUAUUGCCUUGUUUAUGAAUUCUCAUUUUCGUCAUGCGUUGCUCAUGGGGCGCAAGGCGAACCUUGAAGCGUGCUCUGUGAUCCCUCUCGAUGAUUUUCACUCGUCCGAGAAGGGCCCAUCGAGUGUUUGCUUGGUUUCUUGGGUACGGAACCUUUMAUGGGUAAGGGGCCUCGACGGCCUUGUAUUACCCUAAUCAAAAAGCGUUUUGCUUAAAGAAGACGACAGCUGAUCAUGUACGGGCACUUGUUUGUACGGUUCAGCUUCGUUGAAAGAGGAAUGC